rnacentral:rRNA from 1 species
GACGAACGCUGGCGGCGCGCCUAACACAUGCAAGUCGAACGGAGCUGCGAGAAGCUUGCUUUUCUUAGCUUAGUGGCGAACGGGUGAGUAACGCGUGAGUAACCUGCCCUGGAGUGGGGGACAACAGUUGGAAACGACUGCUAAUACCGCAUAAGCCCACGAUCCGGCAUCGGAUUGAGGGAAAAGGAUUUAUUCGCUUCAGGAUGGACUCGCGUCCAAUUAGCUAGUUGGUGAGGUAACGGCCCACCAAGGCGACGAUUGGUAGCCGGACUGAGAGGUUGAACGGCCACAUUGGGACUGAGACACGGCCCAGACUCCUACGGGAGGCAGCAGUGGGGGAUAUUGCACAAUGGGGGAAACCCUGAUGCAGCGACGCCGCGUGGAGGAAGAAGGUUUUCGGAUUGUAAACUCCUGUAGUUAGGGACGAUAAUGACGGUACCUAACAAGAAAGCACCGGCUAACUACGUG